rnacentral:misc_RNA from 1 species
GAUGAAGAACGUAGCGAAAUGCGAUAAGUAAUGUGAAUUGCAGAAUUCAGUGAAUCAUCGAAUCUUUGAACGCACAUUGCGCCCCCUGGUAUUCCGGGGGGCAUGCCUGUCCGAGCGUCAUUACAACCCUCAAGCUCAGCUUGGUGUUGGGCCCCGCCGCCCCGGCGGGCCCUAAAGUCAGUGGCGGUGCCGUCCGGCUCCGAGCGUAGUAAUUCUUCUCGCUCUGGAGGUCCGGUCGUGUGCUCGCCAGCAACCCCCUAUUUUUUUCAGGUUGACCUCGGAUCAGGUAGGGAUACCCGCUGAACUUAAGCAUAUCAAUAAGCGGAGGA